AGUAUGUCCCGUCUAGGCCCUUACGAUCUGCUGAAGACUUACGUCUAUCUUCUGUCCGUACUCCUACCUCUGAUGCUCGCCUUCAAGAUUUCUCGAGGGCUGCACCGUUCCUGUGGAACUCACUUCCUUCCUCCGUUAGAUGCUCACCCAGUCUCCACUCCUUCAAAAAAUCGUUAAAAACCCACUUCUUCAUAAAAGCGUAUCAAU
rnacentral:lncRNA from 1 species